GCUGGAGUGCGAUGGCAUGAUCUCGGCUCACUGCAACCUCUGCCUCCCAGGUUAAAGCGAUUCUCCUGCCUCACCCUCCCAAGUAGCUGGGAUUGCAGGCAUGCACCACUGUGCCCAGGAAGCUGAGAGUGCUGAGGGCACAUCUGAAACCACUGGAGUUUGGCGACAUGGAGGUCAGGUAGUAGUGCUCUCCCACCAGGAGUCCCUCUGCACCCCUGGAAAGAGCAGUCAUUAUGCAGGACAACCCAUCUGCUCAGAAUUUUCGGUGGUGGCUUGUGCUGUGACUCUGGUCCCAUUCAUCUAUGUGCUCCUGUAGGCUUAGCUUCCCACAGCCUCCCCGGUUUUGCCAUUUGUCAUUAUCAUUCACUCUUAAAAUGUAUUCUAUCUAUGACCCUCAUGCAUGGAGUGAUAGCUGAUAGUCUCUUAAAACAAUGUUUACAAUUA